rnacentral:rRNA from 1 species
UGAGGAAUUUUGCGCAAUGGACGAAAGUCUGACGCUGCGACGCCGCGUGAACGAUGAAGUCUUUCGGGAUGUAAAGUUCUGUCAGCAGGGAAAAUUGUGAUUGUACCUGCAGAGGAAGCACCGGCAAACUAUGUGCCAGCAGCCGCGGUAAUACAUAGGGUGCGAGCGUUGUCCGGAUUUACUGGGCGUAAAGAGUAUUGAGGUGGUAUCCUAAGUCAAAUUUUAAAGGCAGGAGCUCAACUCCUGUUCGGGUUUGAAACUGGGAUACUAGAGAUUGGGAGAGGAAAGUGGAACUAACAGUGUAGCGGUGAAAUGCGUAGAUAUUGUUAGGAACACCCGUGGCGAAAGCGACUUUCUGGACCAAUUCUGACGCUGUAAUACGAAAGCGUGGGGAGCAAACAGG